UACGGGGGGGGCAAGCGUUGUUCGGAAUUACUGGGCGUAAAGGGCUCGUAGGCGGCCAACUAAGUCAGACGUGAAAUCCCUCGGCUUAACCGGGGAACUGCGUCUGAUACUGGAUGGCUGGAGUUUGGGAGAGGGAUGCGGAAUUCCAGGUGUAGCGGUGAAAUGCGUAGAUAUCUGGAGGAUCACCGGUGGCGAAGGCGGCAUCCUGGACCAAUACUGACGCUGAGGAGCGAAAGCCAGGGGAGCAAACGGG
rnacentral:rRNA from 1 species